AUAACCAUCCCUUGGGGAUGAAGUGCCUACGGGUAAUAUAUAUAUAUAUAUAUAUAUAUAUAUAUAUAUAUAUAUAUAUAUAUAUAUAUAUAUAUAUAUAUACCCGUAGGCACUUCAUCCCCAAGGGAUGGUUAU
rnacentral:pre_miRNA from 1 species